rnacentral:RNase_P_RNA from 1 species
ACAGCGGGCCGGCUCGUCGCGGGCGUCGUGGCUCGGCCAUCGGCAACGAUGGCUCGACUUCGACCUGUAAACCAUGUCGUGUAAGUGACCACGAAGAAGAAAUGAAACGUCUGAGGAAAGUCCGGGCAACGCAGAGCGCUACACUCUCUAACUGAGAGCUAUCGGCGACGGUAGAGCAGCGUGACAGAAAAUUACCGCCUCCACAUCGGUGCAUCAGUAUAUCUGUUGCAAGUGGAGGUAAGGGUGAAAAGGUGGGGUAAGAGCCCACCGGGCGGUGCAGCGAUGUGCCGUGCCGCACGUCUUGUAGGUUGCAAGGUCAAGUAUACCGGCAUUUAAGGGUUGCUCGCCCAUUGCCGGGGGGUAGACUGCAACGGAGCCUCCCUCGGGGAGGACCAAAGAUAAAUGACGAGCAAGCAUUUUGAGCCGCCCUCACGGGCGCACGAUGCUUACAUAACCCGGCUUACAGGCCCGCCUGCGGUU